rnacentral:rRNA from 1 species
GCUGCAACUCGCCUGUAUGAAGUUGGAAUUGCUAGUAAUCGCGGAUCAGCAUGCCGCGGUGAAUACGUUCCCGGGCCUUGUACACACCGCCCGUCACACCAUGAGAGCCGGUAAUACCCGAAGUCAGUAUCCUAACCGCAAGGAGGGAGCUGCCGAAGGUAGGAUUGGCGAUUGGGGUGAAGUCGUAACAAGGUAGC